rnacentral:lncRNA from 1 species
UGGAGUCCACCCACAAUCUCUCUCUCUCUCUCUCUCAGCUCUCUGCAGAGCCCUACUGUGCUCUCACUCCUACAAGAAAAAUUCUCUUGCUUGGCUUUUCCUGUCUGACUUUAGAAUGUCCUACAUGGAAACACCAGACCUGAGGUUUGGAGCUUGAGCUCCCCAGUCUCCUGUGACACUAGGUCCUUCUGUGAACAGGACUCCUGAUUCUGG